CACUCCGUUGGCCUAGUGGUUAAAGCGUCCACUUCAGAUGUUGGUGGUCAUGGGUUUGAACCCCAGAUGAGUCA